GCUAACCCUGUCUCUGAAUAUGUUUUCUUAAUCGUGUUUUCUUUCGAAUUCAGAACCUUGCUACCUUUUAAUGGUAGGCGUAAGGGUUUUCAUCUUGAAGAUUAGUUAAGACUGACGAUGGAAGCGCCUUCUCAGUCAAAAUUGAACAUUGUCGGGGUGAUGUUGGAUCAAUCAUAAGAUGUGAAGUUUACAGUCUCAAGUAGUACAUAGAAGAUGGAAGGGAUCUUAAUAACGAAGCCAUUAACGCUUGUGUAAUUUGGAAGACCUACUAAUAGAUGGGUGGAAUCCUGGAGUACAUUCAGGAGAAUUAAUUACGGGGAUUUAUUUUUUUAUUGCGAUUUUCUCGCUAUACGGGGAUUCAUACUGCCUAUUCCUAGAAAAGAUUAUUGCAUUUUUUUGUAGUCGUUACUCUUCAAUUGAUCUGCAUCUCUGCAAUUUUUAGUUGCCACUGCUCUUCACCGCCUGAGUAUUCGGUACUUUAUUUUUUUUUAAUGUUGUGAUUGUUGGUAAUAAGGAUGCCAAGCGUUGGUGAAAACGUUGGAAAAUGUUUCCUUUGUAUCAUUUUAUUGACUAUACAGAGACACUUUCCUAUUUGGCUACAAGUGAAACAUUACAAGAUGAGAGGUGCCAAUGGAGGUUUCCUAUUCAAGCUAAUACCUAUACUUAAGAGAUAGUGAAGGUGUUGCAUCUUUCGGUUGGAACGAGGUAUGGAGUCUGAUGGUAUGUGCAGCAGAGAGACAUCCAAGCCCAAGGGAUAUGAAUUGCAAGCUGCUACUGUGACUCAGGGAAGAUUUCAAGCUGCUACUGUGACUGAUGGAGAUAAACACGGAUAUGUGCAAUAAAUGCAAACAUUUUCGUUUGAUCUUCUGCCGGUUUCCUGAACAUGGAUGUAAAUAUAGUUUCAUUUCCUCAAUUAAUAAAAAGAAAAGGCGAUUGAGAGGAAUAUAAGAAGGAGGUAAACGUAGAAGCCCUGGAACUAUAUUGGUAAUCUAUUUCUUUUCUUUUUUGCUUCUAUUGAUUUUUUUUUUUCUUUGUAGCAUCUGUGCUUAAUGAUUAUGUACUUUUCGUAAGAAUUUAGUUUUGAUUUGUAUGUUGGCCCGAUGACGAAAAAACGGUUAGGAGGGAGUUGGUUAAGCAUCAUUCAAGUUACUGUUGCACAGAUCCUUAAUUAUGUGUAGAUCUCUAUACAGUCCACCUAAAGUGAAGCUGUUACCCUCCACCACAUCUUCAUCCGCGAAGUUUAAAUUAAAUGUUAUGUCUCAGCUCAAGCAAAUCAAUGCUUUCCGCUGGAUCAAGUGCUCUUUCGUCUAAAUUGCAGCUCCCAGCCAUUAAAAAUGUAGAAAUCACAAAAAUAUAUA